rnacentral:rRNA from 1 species
AGAGUUUGAUCAUGGCUCAGAACGUACGCUGGCGGCACGCCUAACACAUGCAAGUCGAACGAAGUAGCAAUACUUAGUGGCAGACGGGUGAGUAACAUGUAGGUAUCUACCCUAUGGCCUGGAAUAACACGAGGAAACUUGUGCUAAUACCGGAUAAGUCUUUACGGAGAAAGCUUUAUGCACCAUUGGAUGAGCCUGCACUUGAUUAGUUUGUUGGUAGGGUAAUGGCCUACCAAGACUGUGAUCAAUAGCUGAUUUGAGAGGAUGAUCAGCCACAUUGGGACUGAGACACGGCCCAAACUCCUACGGGAGGCAGCAGUGGGGAAUCUUGCACAAUGGAGGAAACUCUGAUGCAGCGAUGCCGCGUGAGUGAAGAAGGCCCUUGGGUUGUAAAGCUCUUUCGUCGGGGAAGAAAAUGACUGUACCCGAAUAAGAAGGUCCGGCUAACUUCGUGCCAGCAGCCGCGGUAAUACGAAGGGACCUAGCGUAGUUCGGAAUUACUGGGCUUAAAGAGUUCGUAGGUGGUUGAAAUAGUUGGUGGUGAAAUCCCAGAGCUUAACUCUGGAACUGCCAUCAAAACUUUUCAGCUAGAGUUUGAUAGAGGAAAGCAGAAUUUCUAGUGUAGAGGUGAAAUUCGUAGAUAUUAGAAAGAAUACCAAUUGCGAAGGCAGCUUUCUGGAUCAUUACUGACACUGAGGAACGAAAGCAUGGGUAGCGAAGAGGAUUAGAUACCCUCGUAGUCCAUGCCGUAAACGAUGUGUGUUAGACGUUGGAAAUUUAUUUUCAGUGUCGCAGCGAAAGCGAUAAACACACCGCCUGGGGAGUACGACCGCAAGGUUAAAACUCAAAUGAAUGACGGGACCCGCA